rnacentral:pre_miRNA from 1 species
AGUAGAAUUGCUGGGUCAUAUGGUAACUCUGUUUAACCUUUUAAGGAACCACCAGACUGUUUUCCAAAGUGGCUGCACCAUUUUAUAUUCCCAGCAGCAAU